rnacentral:rRNA from 1 species
UGGAGGAAGGUUCGUCCGCUCCAAGUAAGUCGGGAGCUAAGGUCAGGCCGAAAGGCGUAGCCGAUGCACAUACGGUUGAUAUUCCGUAACCAUCUGUAAUUUAAGCAAAGGGACACUUCAAAAGGGUGUGACCCGGGCGUUGGUUGACCCGGGCGUAAGGGACCGAAAUUAGAGUAGGGAAGCACACUUGGCUGAAGGCGAGAAAAGCUUUGCGUAUAGAAGCAGAUGCCCGUACCGCAAACCGACACAGGUGGACAGGAAGAGAAUUCUAAGGCCAGCGGGAGAAGGGUAGUUAAGGAACUCGGCAAAUUGACUCCGUAACUUCGGAAUAAGGAGUGCUCGAAAGAGCCGCAGAGAAUAGGCCCAGGCGACUGUUUAGCAAAAACACAGGUCUCUGCCAAAUCGAAAGAUGAAGUAUAGGGGCUGACACCUGCCCGGUGCCGGUAGGUUAAGAGGAGGAGUGAGAGCUCCGAAUUGAAGCCCCGGUAAACGGCGGCCGUAACGAUAACGGUCCUAAGGUAGCGAAUUCCUUGUCGGGUAAGUUCCGACCCGCACGAAUGGUGUAACGAUCUGGGCACUGUCUCAACUACCCACCCGGCGAAAUUGUAGUACCGGUGAAGAUGCCGGUUACCUGCGGCAAGACGGAAAGACCCCAUGGAGCUUUACUGUAGCCAGAUAUUGGGUUUCGGAAAUCUAUGUACAGGAUAGGCGGGAGACUGGGAAACAUGAGCGUCAGCUUGUGUGGAGUCGAUGUUGGGAUACCGCCCUUAGGUUUCUGGAAUUCUAACCUGCGGCCGUGAAUCCGGUCGGGGGACAUUGUCAGGUGGGCAGUUUGACUGGGGCGGUCGCCUCCGAAAAGGUAACGGAGGCGCUCAAAGGUUAGCUCAGCACGGACGGAAACCGUGCCUCUGAGUGUAAACGCAAAAGCUAGCCUAACUGCGAGGGUGACGGCCCGAGCAGUAACGAAAGUUGGAGUUAGUGGUCCGGCGGUAUGUGAAUGGAAAUGCCGUCGCUCAACGGAUAAAAGCUACCCUGGGGAUAACAGGCUGAUCUCCCCCAAGAGUCCACAUCGACGGGGAGGUUUGGCACCUCGAUGUCGGCUCAUCACAUCCUGGGGCUGUAUUCGGUCCCAAGGGUUCGGCUGUUCGCCGAUUAAAGUGGUACGCGAGCUGGGUUCAGAACGUCGCGAGACAGUUCGGUCCCUAUCUGUCGUGGGCGCAGGAUAUUUGAGGAGCUCUGUCCUUAGUACGAGAGGACCGGGAUGGACGUACCUCUGGUGCACCAGUUGUCAUGCCAAUGGCACGGCUGGGCAGCUAUGUACGGAACGGAUAAACGCUGAAAGCAUCUAAGCGUGAAGCCGACUCCAAGAUUAGAUAUCCCAUCGUAUAACGAGUAAGACCCCUUGAAGACUACGAGGUUGAUAGGCUGCGUGUGUAAGUGCCGUGAGGCACUCAGCUUGGCAGUACUAAUAGGUCGAGGGCUUGACCU